rnacentral:rRNA from 1 species
CCUACGGGAGGCAGCAGUGAGGAAUAUUGGUCAAUGGACGCAAGUCUGAACCAGCCAUGCCGCGUGCAGGAAGACGGCUCUAUGAGUUGUAAACUGCUUUUGUACGAGGGUAAACGCAGAUACGAGUAUCUGUCUGAAAGUAUCGUACGAAUAAGGAUCGGCUAACUCCGUGCCAGCAGACGCGGUAAUACGGAGGGUUCAAGCGUUAUGCGGAUUUAUUGGGUUUAACGGGUACGUAGGCGGUCUGAUAAGUUAGAGGUGAAAUCCCCGGGCUCAACUUCGGAAUUGCCUCUGAUACUGGUCGGCUUGAGAGUAGUUGCGGUAGGCAGAAUGUAUGGUGUAGCGGUGAAAUGCUUAGAGAUCAUGCGGAACACCGAUGGCGAAGGCAGCCUACCAGGCUACUUCUGACGUUGAGGUACGAAAGCGUGGGGAGCAAACAGGAUUAGAUACCCCUGUAGUC